CCACUAUGCGACUAUUGCGUCGUGUCUAGAGCAUAAGUACGUAAAAUAGGUCCAUAUAUUCGGAUUACUUUCUCAGUCAUUCAUUGGUAAAACAAGAAGCAAUGUUUCCCUGUUUAUACGUAGUGCAUUUAAGUACCAUUCCCAUUAUAGGGUUUCUCCCUUAUAGUGAUGUGAGUAUUCUAUUUGUACUUGGAAUAGGUGGAGGAUAAUUGUCAUACAUCGCACGUUUUUAUAUACUGAAAUAAAUAAGCACCGUCUGCUUUACAUACUUUAAAUGGAUAAAUAUAUUUUUAGAUUUAAUAAGUGUGUUCUAAUGUACUGGUUAAUCUGAUGCAGGACCCGAAAGUAAAUUAUGUGACGUAACAAAUAAAUAAAUGAUGUAAAUAAAUUCUGAACAAAUAGUAAGAUUAGACUCAUACAAUUUACGAGAUCGGGGGGAGAGCUGCAGUGGCAGAAUAGUUGAUCAAAGGUGAAUCAGAUUUCGUAUUGUUUAACUUAAUCGGUACUUAUGCACCAGGCGAGAAGCAAAUCAAAACAAUCUAAAAUUAAUAGAAUAGAGCUAUUAAAGCCAAUGUCGAUUUUAAAUAGUAUUGUUUGUUUAUUGUUGUUGAGGCGUUCAGGUGCAAUUUAUUCGCUACGCGCCAUACGUUCAAACUAUUUCACGUAUCCAACACGGGAAGAGUAACUGAAAUGUAGCAAUUUCCUUUUUCGAAUUCAGUCUGCUAUGUACAGCCAAGUAGUCGAUGCAAUGGAAGGAUUUUCGACGACACGGUUCGUCCUAGUCUAUCUAGAAUCGCCGUCGCACAAACGGAACGUCAUCUUCUCAACGGUGUUCAGCCUCUAGGUGCUCUUAUUGCAUUGGUCACCGUAGUGAGAAAUUGAUCUCUCGGAGGAUCUUCGGCUCAGCCUGUCAUUUGCCUGAACUAAAUCUGCCUCUUAAUAGCGUUUUCUCAAUAUUAUUCAUAUCAAGCCUUUUAUUUUCUCCAAUCUCAUCUUUUGGGAACGGGAAGCAGUGAACACACAUCUUGGCUCCGCAUCGCUAAGACCAGCAUCGCUAUGUCGCCAUUCAUCUGCUAUAUGCGCACGUUCGCCCUCAGGAGAUAGGUCGGAUCUGCCGGAUCGACACCGGACUUUCCUUUCAUUCAAAACAGGCGAUCAGCUUUGAUCAGAAAGGUCUGAACAUCAGGCCGUGUUUCCUUUGCUUGGCAUUGCUUGUGGUCGACGCGCACCCGUGUUCGAAUCAUGGUGCAAGACGGCGAUGUCGUACUGCACCUGUUUCCUGCUUUGAUGGAGAUGCUGUACGAAGAAUGUGCCACAGAGAGUCUUUCUUUCGUGCCCCAUCGUCUUGUCAGCUGUGCCAGUAACGUUUCUUUGGUUUGACGCCAUUCGAGGGGCCGACGUGCGUACUAUCAUAGACUAGCAAUGGUUUACACUGAUCCGUCGAACUGCUAGAUGCAGACAUGCUGUAACUUGAGGGAAGCAGUAGAUGCGAUGCUACGCAACUGCGGUGCCUCGUAAAGGUCGGCUGCUGAAUUGGGAAUGAAAAACGCUGGCGGAAUAAAAUAAAAUAAGCAAGUAUGGGAUUAGACUAUAUGACCGCGAAGCGUAGCUCCAAUACGAAUGAAAUUCGAACGUAUUUCGGCUGUAUAAAGAGACCAACGAAGGAGAAUCACUUGUUCGAAAAUUGGUUCAGGGACAUUCGGAUCCUGACGAUCUCAAUGCUCAUUAUUGGCCAGUCAGAGGCUGGUAUUGUUGUCGUCGCUGCCGCCAUCGUUCUUGUUGUCAGUCCGUGCUGAUGACGGGCUGCGUCAGCAGACCAAGCGACCAAGGAAACGCAAGUAAUUGAAGGGUGAAUUGAAGGCUGAAUGGCUGUAGACACCUUUGUCAACAGCAGUCUUACACAACAUCGGCAGUAUCGAGGUGCGUUUGAUUGUACUGAGCCACUUAGUAGUCAAGCACGCAUCAACAACUACAUCGUGCAUUCAGAGGAUCAAGAUUCGCGAAGUCACUGCUGAGAUGGUGUCACAAUAGCAACUGAAUAGACCCAGACAGCCAUCGGGUCGAACGGAAGGAGACUGUCACACCAAAAGGUGAUAGCGGAUUGCAAAUGACAGUCUAAUUUCGGCCAAGAAUGGCGAUAGCCGUACUUUCGUUUUUAGGCCUGCUCCUUAGUUUGUUACUGUUCUUAGGACUAUUACCCCGAUUCUGCCCACUGGUACGGACUAGUAGCCUAAUAUCGUAGCGGCCGUCGUCACAGUUGCCAAAAUGAGGAUUCUGACGCUACCCAUCAUCCGUACCAGUAGCAUACCAUGGCGUUUAUUCCACUGUUGACUCAUUUUGAGCAUGUAGGACUUGCCCUUUACUAGGACCAGCAGCGACCCUCGUCGCUUUUGUUCGUCAGCGGUAAAGCGUUCUGUCGGUGGCACCGUAGUUGUGUUCUCGUUGUUGUUGGGGUUAUUGGCGUUGUUAGCAUGCGCUGUGCUCUGUUACAGCUAUGGCCGCUUUCGGGAGGCUUCCGUGACCACUACUCAAUCCCGUAACUUUGUCGUAUCCGUUCAAACCAGAUUUAGUCAUGCUAUUUCGUGCCUGGCAAACGAGCGCUACCAAGUAUCUGGUGUUUGGAGGAAGCCACCUGUGCGUUAAGCUUCAUUUGGCGGUGAAGGCCCGGCGAUGAACUUCACGUGUAUAGUGUAUGCCUGAAGUCCCCGAUGUUGUCAUCCUAAUGGCUGCUACUGCGUCGUUGCCGUAAAUAAGGAAAGUAAAAUUAGAGUAGAAUGACUCAUAAAACCAAAGCUUAUUAGUUCGAAACAGUAUUUUUAUGAUAUUCGUGGUUUUCUUUUUGUGGCUCAGCUCUCGUUUAAAAGCGCAGCGAAAGAAGUAAGUAGCCCGUGUUGGUAAACGAGUAAGUGAGCAAUUUUUUAGAGGUUUUUUAACAUUUCAUUGACGGAAUCAUAAAAAAAAAUGCUUGAAGUUCUUGCAGAAGACAACAUCUAGAAACUGGUUACUAAAUGUUAUUUUCUGGAAAUCUUCUGGUUAUGAAAAUUGGAAAAGAGCUGGACUCAAUAAUGAUAUCAUUAUGCUACUCUAAUCGACACAAGAUCCCUUUAAAUGUGUCCUAAUUGUAAUCCGUAAUAAUCCGAGUAAUAAAUCCGGUAAGUACACGCUAGGGAGUUUUACUCAAUAAGGAAAUUUUUCAACUUUUAGAGAACAAGAGCUCACAAAGUGCUGUUGCAAAAAACCUAAUUUAUUUACGCCUUAUUAUGGCAUAUAAAAUCCUAAAUUUUUAUUUAUUUUGUAUGAUUCUUUCCCAUAGCGACAAACAUGCCUAUCCUCGCAUCGGACACGACAAUUUUCACUUGCGGUACGUCCUUCAGGAACAGUCAUAUCCGAAAGCAUGGGGCAGUACGCAUUAACAUGGCUCAGUAUUUCUUCACUAUUACUUCUAAUGCCACGGACCCGAAUUUGACGAACCCCUCGCAUCUCGAUAUUCAUUAAUGGCGUACGGCGCUUACGUACUUUUAGGUACUUACUUCACCGUUUGUGAAGACAGCGUUCCAAAUCGUCCAUCGGCAAAGGCAUUUCGUUCGACCCAACCUACCGACUACCUCCAGCACGUCCCUCAGUCCUUCAGCUGCAAAAGAUCUUCAUAGUAAGCGCGCAGAGAAACCAGUCACAGUGGCGCUAUCUCAUCGCUCAAAACGUAAUUCAGGCCCAAUUCGCCUUAUAUGGCGCUGACCCUCCGGCGCCUUUGACGACGAGACUUUCUUGGUUCCCACGGUUACCCGGGCAAAAGAUUUAGUCAGCCAAACACACAAACAACGGAUGACUACUGCAGGUAAUGGAGGAUCCGCGGCAGCCACCUGAAGUAACUGCCGAAGUGAAACAGGCAGCGAACGAAUGCGCGAUUCGACCCCAGUUGUUGCUUUCGUCAGUGCUGCUGUUUUAUCAAACUAGCGAACAACCGCGUUAGGAAGAGAUCUUGGCUUUUAGCUGUCAUUGCCCGGUGACCAUUGACUGUCGAGCAGAAUCGAUGACAAGAGCACGUCUUAAACAAAAAACCUACGCAAACGGAGAAGCAAAGAAGAACGAAGUUAGCUCACAAUGCUAAAUCUAGUCAGGCCAUCUAACCUGAAAGGUAAAACGCAAUCCAUUAGAAAUUACAAGACAAAAAUUAAAAAUAAAUGUUUCGAGCUUUAGGUUGUGUACUUUAAUUCAGCAUUAUUAUAGACAACCGGCUUCACCCAAUGCGAAAUGCAGCAUGUCUAAACCCGACUUUGAGCCUAGAUAAUCGCCCUUAAUGGGCCUUAGUUUAAUACGUAACCACGCUGACAUUGCGCUAUCACGGAGAGGCAGAGGCGGCGAUAGACAGCCGUAGAUAACACAUAGUGUUGUAAACACUUAUAGGGAUAAAUAGAAGUUCAAUUGAUUUAUCUGGGUCUGCUGCGGCUAUCAUACACAAAUGAGGUAGAAAACAGUAACAUAAGUCAAUAAAAAUUGUGGUUUACUUAUGGAACUGCAGUUUUGAUAAACUCAAGUUCUCGCCGAGCUGAUAAUAAAUGAAGUGUUAUACUGCA